rnacentral:rRNA from 1 species
AUUGAACGCUGGCGGCAGGCCUAACACAUGCAAGUCGAGCGGCAGCGGAAAGUAGCUUGCUACUUUGCCGGCGAGCGGCGGACGGGUGAGUAAUGUCUGGGAAACUGCCUGAUGGAGGGGGAUAACUACUGGAAACGGUAGCUAAUACCGCAUAACGUCGCAAGACCAAAGAGGGGGACCUUCGGGCCCCUUGCCAUCAGAUGUGCCCAGAUGGGAUUAGCUAGUAGGUGGGGUAACGGCUCACCUAGGCGACGAUCCCUAGCUGGUCUGAGAGGAUGACCAGCCACACUGGAACUGAGACACGGUCCAGACUCCUACGGGAGGCAGCAGUGGGGAAUAUUGCACAAUGGGCGCAAGCCUGAUGCAGCAUGCCGCGUGUAUGAAGAAGGCCUUCGGGUUGUAAAGUACUUUCAGCGGGGAGGAAGGUGUUGAGGUUAAUAACCUCAGCAAUUGACGUUACCCGCAGAAGAAGCACCGGCUAACUCCGUGCCAGCCGCCGCAGUAACAC